GGAAAGAACCNACAGGGAUUACCUCAGUAACGGCGAGUGAAGCGGUAAAAGCUCAAAUUUGAAAUCUGGCUCUUUUAGAGUCCGAAUUGUAAUUUGUAGAAGAUGCUUCGGGUGUGGUUCCGGUCUAAGUUCCUUGGAACAGGACGUCAUAGAGGGUGAGAAUCCCGUAUGUGACUGGAUACCUAUGCUCAUGUGAAGCUCUUUCGACGAGUCGAGUUGUUUGGGAAUGCAGCUCAAAAUGGGAGGUAUAUUUCUUCUAAAGCUAAAUAUUGGCCAGAGACCGAUAGCGCACAAGUAGAGUGAUCGAAAGAUGAAAAGCACUUUGGAAAGAGAGUUAAACAGUACGUGAAAUUGUUGAAAGGGAAGCGCUUGCAAUCAGACUUGCACUUGGUGUUCAUCAGGGUCUCGUACCCUGUGUACUUCAUCAAGUUCAGGCCAGCAUCAGUUUGAGUGGUUAGAUAAAGGCUUAGAGAAUGUGGCCCUCUUCGGGGGGUGUUAUAGCUCUAGGUGCAAUGUAGCCUACUUGGACUGAGGACCGCGCUUCGGCUAGGAUGCUGGCGUAAUGGUUGUAAGCGACCCGUCUUGAAACACGGACCAAGGAGUGUACCUAAUAUGCGAGUGUUUGGGUGUUAAACCCAUACGCGUAAUGAAAGUGAACGCUGGUGAGAACCCUUAAGGGUGCAUCAUCGACCGAUCUUGAUGUCUUCGGAUGGAUUUGAGUAAGAGCAUAUUGGGUGCGACCCGAAAGAUGGUGAUCUAUACGUGAAUAGGGUGAAGCCAGAGGAAACUCUGGUGGAGGCUCGCAGCGGUUCUGACGUGCAAAUCGAUCGUCAAAUUUGCGUAUAGGGGCGAAAGACUAAUCGAACCAUCUAGU
rnacentral:rRNA from 1 species